rnacentral:rRNA from 1 species
GACGAACGCUGGCGGCGUGCCUAAUACAUGCAAGUCGAACGAGAGCGACCGGUGCUUGCACUGGUCAAUCUAGUGGCGAACGGGUGAGUAACACGUGGGUAACCUGCCCAUCAGAGGGGGAUAACAUCCGGAAACGGAUGCUAAAACCGCAUAGGUCUUCGAACCGCAUGGUUUGAAGAGGAAAAGAGGCGCAAGCUUCUGCUGAUGGAUGGACCCGCGGUGCAUUAGCUAGUUGGUGAGGUAACGGCUCACCAAGGCCGUGAUGCAUAGCCGACCUGAGAGGGUGAUCGGCCACAUUGGGACUGAGACACGGCCCAAACUCCUACGGGAGGCAGCAGUAGGGAAUCUUCCGCAAUGGACGCAAGUCUGACGGAGCAACGCCGCGUGAGUGAAGAAGGUUUUCGGAUCGUAAAACCCUGUUGUUAGAGAAGAACAAGUGCUAGAGUAACUGUUAGCGCCUUGACGGUAGCUAACCAGAAAGCCACGGCUAACUACGUG